UCCGAAAUGGUCUAGUGGCUAGGAUUUCUCGCUCUCAAGCUCUGUACAACACUGCGAAGUGCCGAGGAGGCCGGGGUUCAAUUCCCCGUUUCGGAA
rnacentral:tRNA from 1 species